CAAUAGCGUAUAUUUAAGUUGCUGCAGUUAAAAAGCUCGUAGUUGGAUUUCGGGUGGGAAUGGCCGGUCCGCCGUUUCGGUGUGCACUUGCUACGCCCACCUUGCUGCCGGGGACGUGCUCUUGAGUUCACGCUCGGGACACGGAGUCGGCGAGGUUACUUUGAGUAAAUUAGAGUGUUCAAAGCAGGCCUACGCUCUGAAUACAUUAGCAUGGAAUAACACGAUAGGACUCUGGCCUAUCUUGUUGGUCUGUAGGACCGGAGUAAUGAUUAAGAGGGACAGUCGGGGGCAUUCGUAUUUCAUUGUCAGAGGUGAAAUUCUUGGAUUUAUGAAAAACGAACUACUGCGAAAGCAUUUGCCAAGGAUGUUUUCAUUAA
rnacentral:rRNA from 1 species